GGCCGCACAGGCGCUUCGAAAAAGCGCUCAGACUGGCAGGGUUGGACCGAACCUCACUGAACACGUCGCACCCCGGGGCGCCGGGGAACGCAGUGGGUGCACCUCGGGCUGCAAUUGGCUGGAGCGUGCACGUGACGCCAAGCCCCCCCAACCCUCGCCGUCCUCCUACCCACGGAAACACCAACGACAGCCUCUUAACACCUUGCGCCAAGUACCCGCCACCCGGCGCAAAGGGACGGACGGAGCGCGUGGCGAGGAAGGCGCCUGCGCCUACCUGCAAGGCGGACGGUGGCCGGCCCACGCGCCGCGCGGCUCUGGGGUCGGGAAUCCUCGCACUGCCGGGCCGCGGGGCUAGUGAUUGGCUGUUAGGCCUGGUCACGUGCCGCUCGCGGUCCGCCCCUCCCCGCUAAUCACCUGGCACCGCGCUCGAAGCGGCGAUCUAAGUCGUUCGCACGCGGAGAGGGAGAGAAGUUGGAGGCCUUCUUCUCUUGCCUCCAUGGGGUUCUAUCCAUGAAGGAGGAACGAAAAGCUGGGUCCCAAAACUAAGUUUGAUCCCCGGUACAGAAGAAGGAAGAGGAGCAGGAGGAGGAGGAGGAAGAAAAAGAAGAGAAGGAGAGCCAGGGAAGAGGAAGGGGUAGGAAGAAAGAAGAGCAAGAGGAAACAAAAACCCAAACAGCCACCUGCAAGAGCAGAGCUGCCAGACCAGUGCCAGCCCCUACUUGCCAGCCAUGUGAGUCAAGCUAUUCCUCCGAAGCCAAAGAAAGCAGAGACAAUGGGUUCCACUACACCAUGACCAAAGUGCACUAACAUGAGCAAGCACUGUAGUAGAGCCAGAAUAUAAUAGGAAGGACUUAUGGCCAGGCAUGGUGGUGCAUGCCUAUAAUCCCAGCCCUCAGGAGGCUGAGGCAGGAAGAUCCCCACAAAUUCAAGGCCAGCCUGAACUC
rnacentral:lncRNA from 1 species